GCUCCCCGGCAGUGAAAACAAUGCCAAUGUCGUUGUUAACCUUUUUUCAGCAUUCGCCGCUUGGCUGCCGGGCACCCACCACCCAUUACUGCCCCAACCCCCACCGGCGGAACAGCUCCCCUGGACUAUGACGCAAACAAUGAUAUUUACAUUUUUUAUCUUCGUUACCCCGACCUCGCCCGUUUCCCUCUCGAAUUGGAAACAAGCCGAAGGGCUCCAGGCAUCCCGGCACGUUUUUGAGGGCAUUUGCUGUGGAGCGAAAUAAAAACGGAGGGGACGAGGCUCAUAUCAAAGCGAUCAUGGAUUUAUGGCCUUAAUAAUAGACGAAACGGAAGGGACGGGCCGGCUAAACUGGACAGAAAAGGGAGAACGCAAGUGGACCAGUAAUUAGAAAAAGGAUUUUCCUGUACAUUUUUUUCGGAAAUGAGCCAUUUUGUUUUCUCAAAAAAAGGAGGCCAU
ensembl:ncRNA lncRNA:CR45972 long non-coding RNA:CR45972